GGAAUCCGCUAAGGAGUGUGUAACAACUCACCUGCCGAAGCAACUAGCCCUGAAAAUGGAUGGCGCUGUAGCGUCGUGCCUAUACUCUGCCGUCAACGGCAAAGCGGGCGGUCCCUUCACGGGGCUUCGCCGUUAAGCCUUGACGAGUAGGAGGGUCGCGGCGGUGCGCGCGGAAGGGUCUGGGCGUGAGCCCGCCGGGAGCCGCCGCCGGUGCAGAUCUUGGUGGUA
rnacentral:rRNA from 1 species